rnacentral:tRNA from 1 species
GGUUGUGGCUCAGUGGCAGGGCACUUACCUAGCAUGUGUGAGGCCCUGGGUUCUAUUCUCAGCACCA